AACGAACGCUGGCGGCAUGCCUAACACAUGCAAGUCGAACGAGACCUUCGGGUCUAGUGGCGCACGGGUGCGUAACGCGUGGGAACCUGCCCUUAGGUUCGGAAUAACUCCCCGAAAGGGGUGCUAAUACCGGAUAAUGUCUUCGGACCAAAGAUUUAUCGCCUUUGGAUGGGCCCGCGUUGGAUUAGCUAGUUGGUAGGGUAAAAGCCUACCAAGGCGACGAUCCAUAGCUGGUCUGAGAGGAUGAUCAGCCACACUGGGACUGAGACACGGCCCAGACUCCUACGAGAGGCAGCAGUGGGGACUAUUGGACAAGCGGCGAAAGCCUGAUCCAGCAAUGCCGCGUGAGUGAUGAAGGCCUUAGGGUUGUAAAGCUCUUUUACCCGGGAUGAUAAUGACAGUACCGGGCGAAUAAGCUCCGGCUAACUACGUG
rnacentral:rRNA from 1 species